rnacentral:rRNA from 1 species
UACAGAGGUCUCAAGCGUUGUUCGGAUUCAUUGGGCGUAAAGGGUGUGUAGGUGGCGCCGUAAGUCGGGUGUGAAAUUUCGGAGCUUAACUCCGAAACUGCAUUCGAUACUGCGGUGCUUGAGGACUGGAGAGGAGACUGGAAUUCAUGGUGUAGCAGUGAAAUGCGUAGAGAUCAUGAGGAAGACCAGUGGCGAAGGCGGGUCUCGUGGACAGUUCCUGACACUGAGACACGAAGGCCAGGGGAGUAAACGGG